ACGUGAAGACACGCCCGCCUGCUGAAGGCAGGGCACUCUUCUGUCUUUUGGGUGGGAAUCCUGCUCACAGUCCAUUAGCAGAUCUGAAGAAACUCGCCAUUUCCCACAGUCCCGACACAGAGCCUGAUCCCUGAAAUGUGACGCACCAAGCCCUGUGUAUUCCACUGAGGAACUCCGCUUUCCAUUUCCGGAUGGAGGCAAGGAUCGUCUCUUGACUCUUCCCUUGACUUCACGGGCCUGGCAGGGCUGUGAAGAACUUUUGACACAGGACCGUUAACAGGGAAACGCCAGACACAGGCACAUUAUUAAGAAAACAGCCAAGACAGGAUAGAAGUCCAGGAAGUGGCUCGCCCAGGAAGAUCUGGCCUUGUGCAAGUGUGAGAGGACAUUCUGUGACCAUCUGGGUGCUGCCCAUGCCUCAUCCAAAGACAGACUAGAUUGAAAAAAUCAGGAGAAGGCCACUUCUUCAAGGAUUCUGCAUGGAGGCAAAGGUGUUUCUCCCCCAGUGUCCCUCAAAGACGUGGGCUUGCAAAGCUCUGUGUUGCGAUGAUUGUGCGUUAUGGUCCCAUACCCUGACCACUCAACUGGUUCACAAUCCGUAGUUGUGUGGAAUUGAUGUCCCUCUCUGUGCUCUCUGGAGCACUGGUGCAUGCAAACGCAGGACCUGCGAAAGGAACUUAACCGGGGACUGACCACGGAGCUCUCCGACUGUCAUUGUUUCUCUCCGCAUUUGUUAGGGCAAAUAUCCUUUCAUCUUCUGCCUGUGGAGGAUCUCGGGAAAAUUAUCUAUCUGUUCAAAAGCAAUAAGAGAAUUAAAAAUAAACUGCCUAAAAAUA